UCCGGCGACCGGCGCACGGGUGAGUAACACGUAUGCAACCUGCCCUCUUCAGGGGGACAACCCUCCGAAAGGGAGGCUAAUCCCGCGUAUAUCGGUUUCGGGCAUCCGAGAUCGAGGAAAGAUUCAUCGGAAGAGGAUGGGCAUGCGGCGCAUUAGCUAGACGGCGGGGUAACGGCCCACCGUGGCGACGAUGCGUAGGGGUUCUGAGAGGAAGGCCCCCCACACUGGAACUGAGACACGGUCCAGACUCCUACGGAAGGCAGCAG
rnacentral:rRNA from 1 species